CGGAAGUGAUGACGCAUUUUUCUCCUGACAAAAAAUGGAGGCAUAAACUGAUUUAAUGAGCCUGAUCC